rnacentral:rRNA from 1 species
UACGGGGGGGGCAAGCGUUGUUCGGAAUUACUGGGCGUAAAGGGCUCGUAGGUGGCCAACUAAGUCAGACGUGAAAUCCCCAGGCUCAACCUGGGAACUGCGUCUGAUACUGGAUGGCUUGAAUUCGGGAGAGGGAUGCAGAAUUCCAGGUGUAGCGGUGAAAUGCGUAGAUAUCUGGAGGAAUACCGGUGGCGAAGGCGGCAUCCUGGACCGACAUUGACGCUGAGGAGCGAAAGCCAGGGGAGCAAACGGG